rnacentral:rRNA from 1 species
CGGUAACAUUUUCUAGCUUGCUAGAAGAUGACGAGUGGCGGACGGGUGAGUAAUGCUUGGGAACUUGCCUUUGCGAGGGGGAUAACAGUUGGAAACGACUGCUAAUACCGCAUAAUGUCUACGGACCAAACGGGGCUUCGGCUCCGGCGCAAAGAGAGGCCCAAGUGAGAUUAGCUAGUUGGUAAGGUAAAGGCUUACCAAGGCAACGAUCUCUAGCUGUUCUGAGAGGAAGAUCAGCCACACUGGAACUGAGACACGGUCCAGACUCCUACGGGAGGCAGCAGUGGGGAAUAUUGCACAAUGGGGGAAACCCUGAUGCAGCCAUGCCGCGUGUGUGAAGAAGGCCUUCGGGUUGUAAAGCACUUUCAGUUGUGAGGAAAAGUUAGUAGUUAAUACCUGCUAGCCGUGACGUUAACAACAGAAGAAGCACCGGCUAACUCCGUGCCAGCAGCCGCGGUAAUACGGAGGGUGCGAGCGUUAAUCGGAAUUACUGGGCGUAAAGCGCACGCAGGCGGUUUGUUAAGCUAGAUGUGAAAGCCCCGGGCUCAACCUGGGAUGGUCAUUUAGAACUGGCAGACUAGAGUCUUGGAGAGGGGAGUGGAAUUCCAGGUGUAGCGGUGAAAUGCGUAGAUAUCUGGAGGAACAUCAGUGGCGAAGGCGACUCCCUGGCCAAAGACUGACGCUCAUGUGCGAAAGUGUGGGUAGCGAACAGGAUUAGAUACCCUGGUAGUCCACACCGUAAACGCUGUCUACUAGCUGUGUGUGCCUUU